rnacentral:rRNA from 1 species
CCGACGGUGAGAGGCGAAACCUAGGGGAGCGAGCCGGAUUAGAUACCCGGGUAGUCCUAGGCGUAAAUGAUGCGAGUUAAGUGUGGGGGCAUCUACGAGAUGGCCCUGUGCUGUAGGGUAGCCGUUAAACUCGCCGCCUGGGGAGUACGGUCGCAAGGCUGAAACUUAAAGGAAUUGGCGGGGGAGCACCACAAGAGGUGGAGGCUGCGGUUCAAUUGGACUCAACGCCGGAAAACUCACCGGGAGC